GUCACGUUGCAAGAUCUUCCAGAAGCAUCAUUAAGAUGUUUAAAGGCUUGCUACUGACUAAAGACCAUGUGGCAAGUGGUGACUUUUGUCUGACAAAGGCUGUAUCAAGGAAGCAUUCCCCAAGCAUCCUCCCAGGAAUAUUCCCUUCUUCCUCCAACGCAAGAAGCUUGAAAAGGAAGGAAGGAACUCGGAAGCAAGAAGUUGCAGAGCCAGCAAGGAGCAUUGUGGCAGGUGACAAACCCUCCGUGCCACAGAAGCUCCACUUCAUGAAUUUUUGUGGCCUUAAACAUUCAUCAUCUGAUAGCCAACCACUGGGAAUUAGCAAGGCUCAUCCUUGAACAAUGAACAGAGGGAUCCAGCUCGGGGCCAUAUUCACGGCCCUUCCAGCUGCCCAGGUGCUGCCAGAGCUCAGGCUUCAUUGGUUUAAGGAUUCAGGGCUAGCUCUAGCCUCUCGGUUUUAACUCUGA